CUCAACCUCGAAACUGCUUGCCGAACUAUCAGACUAGAGCAUGGGAGAGGACAGUGGAAUUCCCGGUGUAGCGGUGGAAUGCGUAAAUAUCGGGAGGAACACCAGUGGCGAAGGCUGCUGUCUGGAACAUUGCUGACGCUGAGGUGCGAAAGCCAGGGGAGCGAACGGGAUUAGAUACCCCGGUAGUCCUGGCUGUAAACGAUGCUCACUAGGUGUUACCGGCAUUAACCCCGGUAGUGCUGUUCUGCUAACGCGUUAAGUGAGCCGCCUGGGGAGUACGGCCGCAAGGCUGAAACUCAAAGGAAUUGACGGGGGCCCGCACAAGCGGUGGAGCAUGUGGGUCAAUUGGAUGCUACGCCAAGAACCUUACCAGGGCUUGACAUGUUGGGGCCCGCGUGAGAGAUCACGUUUUCUCCGCAAGGAGACCCCAUCACAGGUGGUGCAUGGCUGUCGUCAGCUCGUGUCGUGAGAUGUUGGGUUAAGUCCCGCAACGAGCGCAACCCUCACCGGAUGUUGCCAUCGGUUCGGCCGGGAACUCUUCCGGAACUGCCUGAGUAAUCAGGAGGAAGGCGAGGAUGACGUCAAGUCCGCAUGCCCCUUAUGUCCUGGGCUGCACACGUGCUACAAUGGCUGGUACAAAGGGUAGCCAAACCGCGAGGUGGAGCUAAUCCCCUAAAACCAGUCCCAGUUCGGAUUGGAUGUCUGCAACUCGACUCCAGAAGCUGUAUCGCUAGUAAUCGUGG
rnacentral:rRNA from 1 species